GUCCCCAAUACCACUAACAGUCUGAAAAUUAUUAUCACCCAUAUAAAGCUUAUUGGGUUCAACUUCCCUACAGUUAUAGAACCAUGACGUGAAGGAACUCAUGUGAAAUGUAGAGCCUGAAUCUAAAAUCCAGUCUUGAUUAAUGUCCUCACAAGACACAGUCAUAACACGCAAGCUGUCCAAUUCAUAACCAAUAGCAGCAUUGUUCAAUUCCAUAUUGUUUUGAUAUUUUACUUCAUUUUCCACUCAAAAAAAACCCCUCUUAAAGUGCCCUAGCUUCCUAUAGCCAAAGCACUUAUUAAUUUUAUCUUUGAAUUUAGACCUCCUAUUUGAUUUUCCUUUUUCUUUCCUUACCUGAAAGUCAUUCUCUCCUUUUUCGCUUCUCCCCCUUACAAACAUACUCUCUUCCACAGAGGCUCUAUUGUCAUUCUUAAUCUCUAACUCACUUGAUCUCAAAGCAUCUAUUACAAUUGCUUGUGAUAAUUUGUCCAUCGAGUAUUUUACUACAUUUCUAACAUCCUUGUAAGAGUCAGGCAAAGAAUUCAAUAAACUGCAACCAAAUCUACAUCAUCAGAUUUCUUAUCGUUAUAUGCAAGACUCUUCACUAUUAUACUAAAAUCACUUAAAUUCAAUUUUAAGUCUAUUUCCAGGUCCAUCCUAAAAUUAAAUAAUUUCUCCAAAAGGUGGAUCCUAUUUAGCAAUAUCUUAGCUAGGAAUAAAGCAUCAAGUGCAGUCCAUAAAUCCCUAGCUUUCUUAGCUUCAUCAACUUGUCUAACAAUAUAAUCAGACAAAUGCAAAAUUAUAGAACUAUAUGAAAUCUCAUUCAUUUCCUCAAUUUCAGUAGGUUUAGCUUUUAAAUCAACCGAAAAUGCUUCAGGAUCAUCAAGGGCUUUAGCAACCCUUUGUUGGACUAAAAUAGCCCUCAUUU
rnacentral:lncRNA from 1 species